rnacentral:rRNA from 1 species
CCUACGGGUGGCAGCAGUGGGGAAUAUUGCACAAUGGGCGCAAGCCUGAUGCAGCAACGCCGCGUGAGCGAAGAAGGUUUUCGGAUCGUAAAGUUCUGUCGUCGAGGACGAAGGAAGUGACGGUACCUAACGAGGAAGCCACGGCUAACUACGUGCCAGCAGCCGCGGUAAUACGUAGGGGGCAAGCGUUAUCCGGAAUUACUGGGGGUAAAGGGCACGUAGGCGGUCUUGAAAGCACGAGGUGAAAGGCAGGGGCUCAACCUUUGUAAGCCUUGUGAACUGCAAGACUUGAGUGCCGGAGAGGAAGACGGAAUUCCUAGUGUAGCGGUGAAAUGCGUAGAUAUUAGGAGGAACACCAGUGGCGAAGGCGGCUUUCUGGACUGUAACUGACGCUGAGGUGCGAAAGCGUGGGGAGCAAACAGGAUUAGAUACCCCAGUAGUC